rnacentral:tRNA from 1 species
GCGCCCAUAGCUCAGGCGGAUAGAGCAACGGCCUUCUAAGCCGUAGGUCACAGGUUCGAGUCCUGUUGGGCGCACCA